UGAGGAAUAUUGGUCAAUGGGCGGAAGCCUGAACCAGCCAAGUAGCGUGCAGGAUGACGGCCCUAUGGGUUGUAAACUGCUUUUAUGCGGGGAUAAAGUGAGGGACGUGUCCUUCAUUGCAGGUACCGCAUGAAUAAGGACCGGCUAAUUCCGUGCCAGCAGCCGCGGUAAUACGGAAGGUCCGGGCGUUAUCCGGAUUUAUUGGGUUUAAAGGGAGCGUAGGCCGUGGAUUAAGCGUGUUGUGAAAUGUAGACGCUCAACGUCUGACUUGCAGCGCGAACUGGUUCACUUGAGUAUGCGCAACGUAGGCGGAAUUCGUCGUGUAGCGGUGAAAUGCUUAGAUAUGACGAAGAACUCCGAUUGCGAAGGCAGCUUGCGGGAGCAUAACUGACGCUGAAGCUCGAAAGUGCGGGUAUCGAACAGGAUUAGAUACCCUGGUAGUCCGCACGGUAAACGAUGGAUGCCCGUUGUCAGGCUUUUUAGUCUGGUGACCAAGCGAAAGCAUUAAGCAUCCCACCUGGGGAGUACGCCGGCAACGGUG
rnacentral:rRNA from 1 species